GUAGGUGGCGAGCGUUAUCCGGAUUUAUUGGGCGUAAAGCGCGUGCAGGCGGUUCUGUAAGUCGGACGUGAAAGCUCCUGGCUUAACUGGGAGAGGUCGUUCGAUACUGCAGGACUUGAGGUCGGGAGAGGGACGUGGAAUUCCCGGUGUAGUGGUGGAAUGCGUAGAGAUCGGGAGGAACACCAGUGGCGAAGGCGGCGUCCUGGCCCGCACCUGACGCUAAGACGCGAAAGCGUGGGUAGCGAACGGGAUUAGAUACCCCGGGUAGUCCACGCCGUAAACGGUGGAUACUAGGUGUUGGUGGCUAUCGUCAUCAGUGCCGUAGCUAACGCGUUAAGUAUCCCGCCUGGGAACUACGGCCGCAAGGCUAA
rnacentral:rRNA from 1 species